ensembl:lncRNA
ACGCACUUCUCUACUCUAUCCAGUCAUAUUCAUGAUUCUGUCAUCAUUCAUAACUGAAUAAAUUAAUGUCAAUUAUUCAGGUAAGUCUAUAUUAAUAGUCUACUCUACUCUACUUCAUUCUAUGUAUAGUUUACUCUACUUUACUCUAUUCAGUCAUAUUCAUCCUUCUCUGCCGUCAUUAUUAGCUGAAUAAAUGAAAGUCCUUAAUUCAGUUAAGUCCAUGUUUAUAGUCUACUCUACUCUACUAUAUGUAUAGUUUACUCUACUCUACUGUACUCUAUUCUAUUUAAAGUCUACUCUAACCUACUCUACUCUAUCCAGUCUUAGUCAUCCUUCUCUGCCAUCAUUCUGAAUGACUGCUCAACGACUGCUCACUAAACGAUGUCCUACCCCCAGCCCACGGCCUUCUGGCGGACAUGGUGAGGGGCCACUCGGACCAGGUUGUUCAGGGGCCCCCCGGACCCCCUGGGCCCCAGGGCCCCGUGGGCCCUACGGGGUCCAGCCGCUGGGUCGGCUCCCCUAGAAACGCCACCGACCUGGUGGAGUACAUCCGAGCUCACGGCCUUCUGCGAGACGCCACGAGGGACCGGUCCGACCGGGUGGUCCACGGGCCCCCGGGCCCCGCGGGACCCCCGGGCCAACCGGGGAACGCCACCGACCUGGUGGAAUACAUACGAUCCCACGGCCUGCUACGAGACACAGUGAGGGAGUACACCGAUCGCAUCGUCCAAGGGCCCCCGGGGGCUCCUGGAGAGCCCGGUCAGCCCGGGUACAGCCAGCACCUCGGCCCCGACGGCAGCGUCACCGACUUGGUGGAAUACAUCAAAGGUAGGCGGGAACGAUUUUUUUUUUUUCUUGCCGACUGGGAGGAAAGGUAGACUUGGGAUGGGUGGACAGACGUGUGGCCUGUGUGAAGUGACAUGGAUUUGUGUCGUUCUCAGCGCACGGAGCAUUCACCGGACCCCCUGGGUAUCCUGGGGUCAAAGGUGACAGAGGAUACACAGGUCAAAAAGGAGAGAGAGGUAAACAAUGAAAAAAAAGAGACCAAAUGAAUGUCCCAACAACAUUAGUUUAGUCGCAUUUAUUAGUCUGAUGACUCGUGUUUUAGUUUUUUAUUGCUAAAUCACAUACAUUUGUAUAGCAAUAGUUAAAUAACAAUUUAAAACACAUCUGACUCAUAAUAUAAUACAUACAGUAAAAUGUAUCCUAAGGGUACAAUAAAAAAACAUGAAUUAGCAUUAGUCAGUAGCAAUAAGAUAUAGCUAAUAAUUU